AGUUUACAACGGAAAGUUUUAAAAGACAGUCGUGAAUCGCGGGUGAUUAUUGAUAAUAAACGGUUAAUGGAAAAUACUUUCCUUGCCAUCAUAUUUAUGAAAUUAAAUUCUCCUGAAAGGCAUUGAAAUCUAAAAUUGGUGCGAAAAUAUAAAUAUACGAAUAUAUAUUACGUUUAAACUACAACAUAGGUAUAUAUGCAUAUGAGCUUUUUUUUAUGGUAAUAUCUGCAUCGCGACUUAUACUAUGUUUCAUUUUACUUAAAUCUUUUAAAUAUUAAAUAGCCAUGUGCAAUUGAAAGAAAAUUUUUAAAGGUAUACAAAUAUUACUGGUCAAUAUUUUUCUUUGUGCAAAUAUAUUAAAAAAAAUAGUGCAACAUCUUUGUUUUGCAUAAAUAAGUAUAAAAAUUAGAAGAAAUGGUAAAAAGUUAUUGAAACCGUAUGGAAUUUAUUUACGCCGCAAUUUAUAUUCACGUCUGGAAAUAUGCGAAAACGCUCAAACAUUUUUUUGAAUCGCAUUAAUAAAUACUAGAUUCUCGGUAUUGCGUUGAUGGCUGCAACCAAAAUUAUAGAUGCUCCACGAAAUGGACACGAAAUGGCGCCAUUAAAUACUCGAGCGCGGGGCGAUGGUACUCAUGGAGUUACAAUUGUUCUUACUGCUUCUCAGCGCAAUUCGGUAAGCUCGGUGGAGGUACCGGGUGGCGAGCCCGAUCGUGCAGCAUGGUCUGGAAAAAUGCAGUUCUUCCUCAGUAUUAUCGGAUAUUCUGUUGGGCUGGGAAACAUUUGGCGAUUUCCGUAUUUGUGCCAACAGAAUGGUGGAGGAGCUUUCCUAAUACCGUUCAUGGUCAUGUUGAUAUUGGAAGGUGUACCGUUGUUUCUAAUAGAACUGGGUAUUGGACAACGUAUGAGGCUUGGCGCACUUGGUGUUUGGAACACUAUACACCCUUGGCUAGGCGGCAUUGGAAUAUCGUCCUGUAUCGUAACCCUGUUUGUAGCCUUAUAUUAUAAUGUUAUAAUAACCUGGGUAUUCUUCUAUUUAUUCAACAGUUUUCGAUAUCCUUUACCCUGGGCUUCCUGUCCUACAAAUGGGACAGUUGAAAUAGAUGAAUGUGCUCGUUCGUCAGAAACAGCGUACUUUUGGUAUAGAACAACAUUAGAUGCCGCACCCUCAAUGGAUGAACCAGGCGGCUUAAAAUGGUGGAUUGUCCUCUGUUUGUUUCUGUCUUGGACAAUCGUAUUUUUUAUUGUCAUGAAAGGCAUUCAAAGUUCUGGCAAGGUUGUGUACUUUACAUCGCUUUUUCCGUAUAUUGUGUUGACAAUUUUCUUUAUACGAGGAAUUACGUUGAGAGGUGCCAGUGCUGGUCUUAUACACAUGUAUACACCGAAAGUGGAGAAACUGGCCGAUCCGACAGUAUGGUUGGAUGCAGCGACACAAGUUUUCUACUCCUUUGGUCUGGCUUUUGGAUCGCUCAUAGCAUUUGGAAGUUACAAUCCGCCCAAAAAUAAUUGUGUACGUGAUGUCCUUUUAGUGUCGGUGUGCAAUGCCAUCACCGCCAUAUACGCAAGCGUCGUAAUAUUUGCCAUUCUCGGAUUUAAGGCAACGGUAAACGUGGAUCGCUGUAUUGAACUCAAUAAGGAGAUCUUAAUCAAACGUGAUUUACUUCAUUACAAGAAUGCAACAUUUGAAGAAUACGAAUCUGUGAUGGCAAAAGUUAACGGCAGCGAGUCCAUCAGCUUGGAACUUGAAGAGUGCAGCUUAUCUAAACAACUUGACAAUGCUGCAGAAGGCACUGGACUUGCGUUUAUUGUUAUUACUCAGGCUAUUGUGGAGUUACCUGGUGCCCCGUUCUGGGCAGUUCUUUUCUUUACAAUGUUACUUUCUCUAGGCCUGGGGUCUCAAAUUGGCAUACUAGAGGGGAUGCUUUGUACACUUUUUGACAUUGAUAUCAUUAAACGGGUUAAGAAACAACAUGUGACAGGGGUGGUAUGUCUAUUCUGCUUCAUUGUCGGUUUCAUAUUCUGUACAGGUGCCGGUGAAUAUUGGCUCAAAAUGUUUGACUCAUUUGCGGGCACCAUUGGGCUGGUUGUUGUCGCAUUGAUGGAAACGAUUGCAGUGGUAUACGUCUAUGGACACGAGAGAUUUACGGAAGAUAUUUAUCAGAUGACCGGUUACCGACCUGGCCUAUACUGGCAAUUAACCUGGCGUUAUAUUGGACCAGUCAUUAUGGUAGCCAUUCUAGUCUCCUCUGUCGUGUUCAUGGUCAUCAAAAAUCCAACAUAUGGAGCCUGGAAUGCUCAACUCGGAGCUGUUCAACAAUCCAAUUAUCCAACAUGGGUAAUGGGAGUCGCAUUAGCAAUGAUUCUUGCUGGUGUUUUGCCAAUGCCCAUCGUAUUUUUGAUGCGAAGCUUCCAGUGUCUAAAAGUGGACCUAGAUAUCCACCAGGGCUCAAUAAGGAGAAAUGAGACUACGGCAUCGACAAAAGAAAUGAUCGAUAAUGACGAUGAUGAUGUUAUGAGCCCUGAUAUGCCUCCUCAGAACUUACUGGCAGCGACACGGUUCACUAUCGGAGACUUUGAUAAUUAAACUGUACAUGAAUAAAUGCAACUUCAUUAAGAGUAACUUACAUUACUGAUAAUUUAAAUAUAAAGUAAUAAUAUUAAACGGAAUUAAUUUAAAUAAAAAGGCAACAGUUACCUCCAGAUAAUUUGUAUUAAAUGAGCGUUUUACUGAACCAAGUUUAUUAAUGAAAUGUUAUAAUAGAAAUAAAAAAUUAAAUAAACUUUGAAAAUGGAAGACGCCCAAGUUCUAAGUUUAAUAUAAAAUGUACAUAAAAUACAAUUGUAAUCAUCGUGCACCAACGCGCCACCACAAAACUAAUACUCGUACCACUAACGAUUGUUCAUUAAAUUUAUCGAAAAAGCAAAAACAAAAAAGCAAUCAACGUAAAACAAAAUAAGAGAAAUGCUGUCACCUGCUGUCACUGUUGAGGCCUUUUAACUACGAAACGUAAUCUUUUAUGAUAAUCGAAAAUCGCUCAACUCGAAGAACUAAAUGUAAAUCUUAAAAAUACAAAUAUAAAUUACAUUUUUUUAGCAUUUAGAAAAAAUUCGUCACUUAAAUGCUUUUAUACAUAUGUUAUGCGCACUGACCUGUUUAUUUUAGAGUACUUAUCAUAACAAACAACUUGUGUAUGCUUCAUGUGUGGAUUUGUACAUAGCUAGUUAGGUAAAACGAAUAGCGGAAACGGAUAUGGAAUGUAUGUAUGUGCCCAUGAUUGCACUUAAUAUUUAAAAUAUAAUAAGAUUCAUGCCUGUGCACAGCGACGACGUAUAUUGUGCAGACGUUCUUUAAAGUGACGUUGUUGGUUCAUGUAUGUACGUCCAAUACAUAUGCAUAAUCUAUGGUAUUAAAAUAUGUUAAUCAUAUAGCAAGUCUUACAUGUAAAAUAAAAAACAAAGAAGGCGAUAUGCUUAAAGUUCAAAUAUUUACAAUUAUGCAAUCGAUUUACGGCUUAGCUUAUAAUGAAUAUUAAAAAAAAUAAAUAGCUUGGGUGAAAGAAAGACAGAAUAAAUUUUUUUAACCGUUUCGAAUGUUUUGUCAAUUGCUGGAACUUGGAAUAUUCUAAAUCUAACACUGGUGGUUGCAUCUUUACAAAUUGUUUCAGAAGCUCUCGUUACUAAAAAUCGCUGUUUGAAUAAGAUAUUUGAAGGCACUACAUAUUAAAGGAUGACGAAGAUGACUAUAGUGGUCCCGCUUUGGGGGGUCCCGUUAGAACCCGAAGUGACUUUUCGGAUGAUGAUGAUGACGACCGGCCUGUAACAAUGCGAAGCCCCAAUCUUCGUUCCAAACUGGCUGCACCAAUUCAUCUAAAUGUGCCAAUAAGUAAACCCUCAUUUAAAAUGGAAGUUUUCGAUUUGUAAAAUACUUAAGUUUGGAAGUAAUUAGUAAUUAAGAUGUUAUGCUUGAUUGUUUACUUUGAAAUUUAAUCUAUAAUAAUUUUUACUUAUCAUUAAUUCUGAUUCUUAAAUCAUUUAAAACAUUUCUAAUAGUUUUUUUCAUUUCAUAGUUAAUACCAUUUAAAAUUGAAAAAAAUAGAUAUGUAUUUAGAAUAUUGAAGCUCUGAGGAAAACAAAUGUUUAUAUGUAUAUACACACUAUGUAUGUAUAAGAAUGACAAUGAGCAUACGCAUGUGCACAUAUGUAUAUAUGUAAGUGUGUUGGGAUAACUAGUCUGUGUCAAAAAACACUUAAUUAAAAUGUGUGUACAUACAUAGAGGGAUUUAUUUAGAUGAAAACGAAUUAAUACCUGUCUUCGGUUCGCCAAGAGUUGCACUGGCGGUGCAAUCUUGCGCUAACAUGCCUUCUGACGCAUACGCAAUUAUGUUCUUUCUUUGGCGGAGGAAAACAUCAAUAUUAAUUUGGACAACAGAGCAGCACGAAAAUAUAGUGAGCAGGAAAAUAGCAAAUCGAAGCCAGUUAUUAUUUUUUACAUCGUAAAUAUAUUUAUGUUACUAAUGGUUUACCCAUACUUACUUACAUAUAUUAUACAUUGUUGAAUAUGUACGAAAGUGCACGAAUUCUUGUUUGCCGAACUAAUGAGGUGAUGUUACCUGUCUUCGAUUCGCCACACCUUGUAAGGCAGUAACUAUACUAGUUGCAGUAAAACCUUUCGCUAACAUGUCCUUUGAUGACCGAAAUGCGUUGCGCUUAAAUUUUUUAAUACAAUAAAGAAAAUAGUUGAACUCAAUCGUUUCGAAUUCAACUCGCUAACUUUGUUGUGGCCUUUCCACGUAAAUUUUUGUCAAGAGAGCAGUGAGCAAAGAUAUUGAGCAAUGAAAUUGUGAAUCGAAACAGAUAUUACCUGUGCCUCUGACUAAUCAGUUUUAAUUUUUUUUUUUCGUAAAGAAUAGUUGUUAAGUACUAUUAUUUCCCACAAAAACAAGAAUAUAAUGUUAUAGGAAAAAAUUGGUGACAUCCCUUAAUUGAUGUGAGGUUUGGUUAAAUGCAGUCCUAAUUACAUCGUUUUUGUGACAGGGUCUCUGAUUUUUUCCAUAAAUUAUAUAGUUACGAUUAUAUUAAAUUCACAAAACUUUAAAUUACAGUAACGAAAUAUUUUAAUUAAAUAAAGUAGUUAGUAGCCAAAUGAAAAGGCAGGAGAAAGUUUAGGGAAACUUUUGGAAGUUAUUAGAUAAAUAUGGUAUUGUAUUUCUUAUAAAAUAUCUGCAAAUAAUUUAAAAAUAACGAAGUCCAAAUUAUAAAAGAGGAAGCUACUCAGAGUUUUUUUAAAUCAUUCAGACAUUUUUUUCAUAACAAAAGAGAAACAUACACAAAUGAGCCUUUAUACAACUUAAUAUGAAGUCAGAAAUAGAUUUAGCAUGAUGCUAUUGAAUAAAGUGAUUAAUUCUCCCCUCACCAUCAACUUACGAUGGAUCGGUAAUGAUAUGGGAUGGGUUUUCCUACUAUAUAAAACGCAAUAAAUAUAAUAUUAAGACAAAUAUGGCCGCAGAAUAAUAUGUGGAGUAAAUUGAAUUUAAAUCCUAAAUAAGAAAAUUAAAAACACAUUCAUAUACUUAGCAUUAUAUAUUUUAUAGACACGACAAGAAAUAAAGGAUAGCUAGCAAAGAUUCGCCCACUAUAAUUGAUGGUUACAAAUUUGGUUUUUACUCACGUUUUACGAACGGCGGACGGAAUUUAUGAGAAGCUAUUCUCGCAGGACGAGUUUGGGAAAACUUUGAGAUUAAUCGUAAAAAUCCAGGUCUCGCAGAUAGUGAUAUAGUAUUAACUAAUAAUAAUUGCCAUUUGCUUUGUGUGUAUUUUUUUGUUUUUUAAUUCUCAAAAAUGUGGCAUUCUCAUUUACAUUUCACAUUUUCACAUUUUAAACAUAUUAAAGAUAUUGGAAAAAGGGAUUUUAACUCGCCGAAAAAAACUUUAUAACAUUAAUUGUAUGCUAAGUUAGAAAGCAAGUAGGUGCUAUUUUCGACUUCUGCUUGUCAUAAAACGCAGUGGCGUUUAUCCAAUUUUACUAGAGUCAAAAAUAGUAUUUUUAAGCAAAAGAUGGAAGGGGUAAACUCCUAUCAGACGAACGUGGCGAAAUAGACAUAAACAUUUACAAACAUAUACAACGCAUUUGAUAGAUAUUUGAGACACACACAUAUUUUCUCAUCAUACAUAAAUACAUAAAAUAAUUAGAUUUCGAAACCGAGUCUUAAAAUAAUUGUCCUUAUUAUUUUGGUAUGUUUCGGUCAGAUUUGUUCGAAAGGAUAAGAAAAGUUGAGAAACUUUAUUAUAAGGGUAUGGGGCCUCACCACUUAUUUCACAAAAUUCUUAAUUUAGAUUUGUUUAACAUCUUAAACAGGUCCAGGUACCUUGAAAUUGUACUGAUACUAUGGAAGAAUACUUUAAAGUUAAGAAUGUUGUUCUAUGAUGAUACAAAAUUAUUAUUUGCAUAACAUUGCUGAUGAAGCAAAAAAAUACGAAAAGUGAAUUUUUUCAGCAAACAUCAUCAUAUGAAAAUUAGAAAUAAAAGCGUAGUUUAUUAUUAUGUCAGUUAAUUAAGACAUAAUUGUGUGAUAUAUUAAUUGAUAUUCGCUAAAAAAUAGGAUGUAAGAUAGAAAUAUUUCAAACGAAUAAAAUAAUUAAUGCAACGUUUAAGCGAUACAAAUACAAAACUAGCGAAUAUGCUUGUAUUAGGCUUCUGAAGAAUUAAACCUCCCAUACAAUGUAUAAUAUAAAUUUAUGUAAAUAUUUGUAUGUGGCAACACAAACGAUUUGGUUUAACUUUCGCUUACCCGAGGUUUGUUUUGCUAAAAAAUUGAGUAAAAUAUCUGAAAAUUCCAGUUGUUAAAUUAAUUGUUUUAUUGAACUAUUUUUAAUAAGGGUAUUAAUAUAUAAAGGGAUUACAUGGGUUUCACGUCUUCGAACAAAUAUUUUUUAUUGUCUUAUCUAAUUCUAUAACAUCUGUAUAAUAUUGUAAUAAAUUCUCAGCUUGAUCCGAGUAAAGCUUUGGAGAUACGCGCUCGAGAUCAGCUAAGUAUAUAAUCACAUAAAACAUUAAACGCGUUUUUCUCGAAACUGUGUUUUCAAAGUCGGUUGACAAGAUUUCUCACGAACAAAAGAAAUUUCAGACGGUUUUUGAGAUAUACUUAACAAAGUCUUUUUUUUUAUAAAAAAAAAACGGCGAGAAAUAUUCACCAAUAUAUGCAUUUUUUUGUAAAAACGUCUGCCAAAAAUACAAUUUUCACUUUUUUGUUUUUCCUUCGUCCAAUACCUAGCUUAUGGUCUUAAUUAAAACGAAGAAGUUCUGCUGUCAACACGGAAAACCGUUUUUCCGAGCGACUGCCGGAAAUUACGUCGUAAUGACCGAGUUUUGAAUAUUUUCUUUCGAAAAUUUUUCAAAAUCUUUGUAAAAUAUAUAUCUUUGGAAUCAUAAGAAGUUUGUGUAAAAUAUUUAAGUUUUUAUUUUUGGAUUAAUAAGAAGUUUGAAUAAAAUACUUAAUUUUUUGUAUGAAAAAUAUAAAAUUAUUAAAAAUACACUGGUUUUCUGCUCAACCAAUCCUUUGUAUAUAACCCCUUAAAGGGAGGACAAAAUAUUUGUCCAUCAGUAAUUAGGUUAAUCUAGCUAUUUAAAAAGUUGAUUAAUCGUCGUUUGCUUCUUUGGAAUACGAAUAUUACUAAUUAAUUUGAUGGCUUCUUGCUGAAGUUAUGUCAAUACAAUAAGUUUUGUGAAAUCGACAUUGUUUUACUUUACCGACUGGAUAGAUUGUUCGAAAUUUUUCACUGCAGCUUCAUAUUUAACUUUUGGGUUUACAUUUUCAAUCUCGUCAAACAAAACGUAAAGAAACAUUGGUAUAGUAACUGUUUCAUUGGAGUUUUUUUUUCAUGUUUUGUUUUGUAUUCUGUUUUCACAACGAUUUUAUAUUAAUUUCCCCAUUUUUAAUGUCUUCAUGUUGUUCGUUAAACCAGGUACUGACAAAUCCCGUUGUUUGUUUCUUAAAGUACUCGAUUGUAAAAAUUUCCUUGUUCGUUAUAAGCGGUUUUUGUUAAAGAAAUAUUCGUUAUUUCGAAAUAUUGUAUUAUUGUAUUGUCAAAUAUGCUGUUUUAUGUUUCCAUUUAAUAGUAACAAUAUACAAUAUAUAUAGAUAGAGCAACUUGUGCAUAUUUAGCUAGUGAUAGUUAGCAGUUAAGCAACAAGCUUAAUGAUUUAAUAAUUUAAAACUUUCCUGCCGACAAAAAUGUGUUUUUUGAGAGGUCAAAAGGUAAACAAGAAACUCAUGAAAAUAUUUAUUUGACAUUAACGAUUAAAACUUAUUUUCCUAAGAAGAAGCACUCUUUCUAGUAAUAUAACCUUAUAUAACUGAAUCAUGGUCGUUUCUGAAAGACAUUAUAUUAUAUGAAAAGGAAAAUUUGUGGCAUUAAAAUUUGGUUUUCAUUUUGUGGCUAUUAUUUGGAAAUUUAUAAAUGAACACAUGAUAAUCGCAUUCAAAAACGUUAAUUGUCCUAAUUAAAUGCAAUGCAGUCAAAAAUAAUAGAAAUGGAGACUAUGACAAUUUCGUUUCUUAUUCAGUUCACGUUUGACAGAAAUUAUGUCAUAAAGGUUUAAUUAUGUCAAAAAAUGACGACACAUAAUUAAAUAUUUUUUUAUUAAUUUUAAAUUGAAUUUUGCAUUUAUUACGAUUGCUUUAAAUUAGUUAUUUAAAAUGCAUAUUUUACAGGUUUUCUUAAUGCCUAUCCUUAUUCUUCAAUUUAGAGGGAUUAUUAAAACCACAGGCUUAAACCUACUCCUAUAAGAUGUUUGAAAAUACUUUUAUUAAUGGAUUGUUAUGAAUAUAUAAAUAAAAUUUUCAUUUUAUUUCUAAUAACGAGGGGUUCUUUUUGACUUUCGUCAGAAAUCACCAAUUAUUUUUUUCGUUAAACGUUGUCGAGAAACAGUUAAACUAUGUCAAAAAAAACUUUGCAAGAGGAAUCUAAGAAAUGGUUGUAUUAUUAACUUUAUAGAUAACAAAAAAGAGUUGGUUGGUAUAACUAUAUUUUACUAAUUAAAGCUAUUUAUGGGUAAUAUCAUAUUAUUAUAAUUAAAAGUUAUAUGUUUUAAGAAUACAAUUAAAUAAUUCAAUUAAAAACGGAUAUUUAAGAAAUCAGAGACGAAAAGUUUCUAUUUUAACUCGAUAAGCCAUGAGUGAACUGUAUUAAUUCUUAACGAUUUCUGGGUAUAAUAAAUAUAUGUCCUUAUCCAAAUAUUCGUGAUUCUAGAAUAGUUUUCACUUAUACAUAUUUUCAUAAGUAAGUAUGUAUGUAAAUGUUAAAAAUGUUCAAGUUUUCCCAUAACUAAUGAUAUAUAAUUUUAAGAUCCAAGACUUAUUUAAAACAAAGUAAUGAGACUCAUAGUUCUCAAUAACAUAAACAAAAACUUUUAUGCUACAUUCCAAAAGACAAUAAAAGCUACUUAUUUAUAAACAAAGAAAAAUUGUUCACGUAAAAUAAACUUUAGUGAGUAAAAUUAACGGUUGUAAUAGAACAAAGCGAAAAUAUA